rnacentral:rRNA from 1 species
AAAUUGAAGAGUUUGAUCAUGGCUCAGAUUGAACGCUGGCGGCAGGCCUAACACAUGCAAGUCGAACGGUAACAGGAAACAGCUUGCUGUUUCGCUGACGAGUGGCGGACGGGUGAGUAAUGUCUGGGAAACUGCCUGAUGGAGGGGGAUAACUACUGGAAACGGUAGCUAAUACCGCAUAACGUCGCAAGACCAAAGAGGGGGACCUUCGGGCCUCUUGCCAUCGGAUGUGCCCAGAUGGGAUUAGCUUGUUGGUGGGGUAACGGCUCACCAAGGCGACGAUCCCUAGCUGGUCUGAGAGGAUGACCAGCCACACUGGAACUGAGACACGGUCCAGACUCCUACGGGAGGCAGCAGUGGGGAAUAUUGCACAAUGGGCGCAAGCCUGAUGCAGCCAUGCCGCGUGUAUGAAGAAGGCCUUCGGGUUGUAAAGUACUUUCAGCGGGGAGGAAGGGAGUAAAGUUAAUACCUUUGCUCAUUGACGUUACCCGCAGAAGAAGCACCGGCUAACUCCGUGCCAGCAGCCGCGGUAAUACGGAGGGUGCAAGCGUUAAUCGGAAUUACUGGGCGUAAAGCGCACGCAGGCGGUUUGUUAAGUCAGAUGUGAAAUCCCCGGGCUCAACCUGGGAACUGCAUCUGAUACUGGCAAGCUUGAGUCUCGUAGAGGGGGGUAGAAUUCCAGGUGUAGCGGUGAAAUGCGUAGAGAUCUGGAGGAAUACCGGUGGCGAAGGCGGCCCCCUGGACGAAGACUGACGCUCAGGUGCGAAAGCGUGGGGAGCAAACAGGAUUAGAUACCCUGGUAGUCCACGCCGUAAACGAUGUCGACUUGGAGGUUGUGCCCUUGAGGCGUGGCUUCCGGAGCUAACGCGUUAAGUCGACCGCCUGGGGAGUACGGCCGCAAGGUUAAAACUCAAAUGAAUUGACGGGGGCCCGCACAAGCGGUGGAGCAUGUGGUUUAAUUCGAUGCAACGCGAAGAACCUUACCUGGUCUUGACAUCCACGGAAGUUUUCAGAGAUGAGAAUGUGCCUUCGGGAACCGUGAGACAGGUGCUGCAUGGCUGUCGUCAGCUCGUGU